GCGGGCUCCUCCUCCCCGCACAGUUCCGCCCCCGUGCCGCCCCUGUCCCCCCGGGUGCGCUCCUCGAGUCAGCCCAGCGGUGUCGCCGUUGCCCUUGGAACCGGGCCACCCGCGCAGCCCCACUUUGGGGGUGUCGUUUCCAGCAGAGACGGGACCCCAGGGUGGGGGAGCGUGAGGUCAGAGAGCGCGUGCGGGGAGAACGGACCUGCGGUCCAGGGCGUCCGCCUGGAGUCAGGGGUCAGGGAUCCCGUCAUAGACACAUGUGUAUUAUUGUGAACGGUGCCUGCCCCGCCCCAGCACACACUAGUUUCUUCAUUGCUACCUUUGGGACACAGUGCAGGACAGUGUCUCUUUUCCCGUGGCCCCUCUUGAGGAGGACUGUCUGCGCUCAGGCUGGAUGAUCCUCGUGCGGCCCAACAAGUGUGCAUGGGAGCUGAGGCCACGGGCACAUUCUGCAGGUGAACAGCGUUCUGCAGGUGUCUGCCUUCACCUUGAGCGAGCAGAGUCGGCGUGGCCGGAGGCUGGAACACGCAGGCUCACCGGGGACAGGUGCACGUGGCGGGGAAGCGGACAGCCUGUGCAAAUCCUCAGUCUGCUUCCGUCGAUCUCGAAACGGAGAUGGCUUUGACCCAGCACACAGAGUCACGUGGCAAGCUCACCAGUGCGUCCAAAGUAUUCGGCACAUACUGACUGGACACCCACUGCUGAGAGAGUUUACUUCAGUUCUUUCCUGCCUGAGGUUGGAGCGGCACCUCUGGGUUCGGACCAGGACAUUUAUUUGGACGCUUUACAGUCUGAGCACCAGCGGGAAGGAUGGAACCCAACAGCUGAGUUCCCCGCACGCAGCCCCGGGCCGGACGGAAAAAGCGGAGGCGUCACCACGGCCACUGCAGGUGCCCGUCCUUCCCGGGCCUGCACGGAGCCCACUGCUCUGGUCUGUCAAGCGGUUGGUCACCCCAAACCUCCACCCCCGCUGGGGGCCACGCUCUUCUUACCAUUUGAUUCAUGUGGCCUGUGCUUCUCGGUCCCCAGCCAAUGUGCUGGACAGGCCACAGGUGCUGUAAAAUCUUUGCACGUGGCACAGGGAGUGGGGUGCCCGCACUCACUCGUGGCGGAACCCCGUGGCUGCUGUGGACAUGAACUAGGAACUGAGUGCCGGGCCAGGGCGGGGGGGGGGGGGGGGGUGCUGUGGGCGCGGUGUGCCUGCUUCCUGGCCUAGUCUGGGCUGUCAGUCCCCUCUGGAACGCCCAGGGCCCAAGGGCAAAGCCCUGUCACAGCUGUGACACACUCUGUGCCUAGUGAUGGGAAUAGAUGAGUGGGAACGGCCUCUCUAGAGCGACCAUCACUUUAUUGGAGAUGAAUAAAAAAAGACUUCUUAAAGGAUUUUUUUUUUUUUUAAAUAAAAGAACACUGUGUAGACGUGCACCUUUGGAGGCAGGACCAGGGGACCCCUUCCGUGUUACACGGGCCGGUCGGUUCUUCCAUCUGUCAUUGAUAUAUGUGGCAUGAAAAUACAGAACGCAUGCAUAACAUAAAGGCUGCGUAAAUAUACAUUAAGGAGAAGCGGUUCCCUUAUCUGCAUUUGCACGGUCGCCAGAUCCAUCAAUACGGGUGCAGCCCGGCUCUGGGUCCCGGUCCCGGGGGCCGUGGGCAGGUGGGACCCGUGCGUUGUGCAGUCAAAUGCAGCCGGCUCCCAUUUAGAAAUUCCUAUUGUGGGGCAGGGGCAAAGUAUCUAUAAUAAUUUUAAGGACAUUUCCCAAAUGUUUAUUUAGAUAAAAGAUGGGUAACAGUAAAACUCGGGAACCUGCAGCCUGAUAACAGGUUUUAUUAAUGACCUGCCAUACGCCAGGGCUGGAUAAUUAAAGUUUUUCCCCCCAAAGGAAGAGAGUGGACAAAUUUAUUUGAUGGUUUGAUAACCAGGGACACUGGUUGAAAACUAUUGAUAUAAUCGGAGCUCAUUCGAUUUGCUCAAGACAGCCACUCCUAUCAGCUAAUUUCACCUGUGCAUAGUUAAUUAUCCUCCGAAUGCA